UUCGGGGGUAAACGGACAGAGCCCGUGAAUCCGGGCGUCAGUGUUCAGAAGCGAUGGCGUGUGCGCGCGUUUCGAGCGCGCGUACGCGUCGUCGUUUUGAUAUUUCUGGCGCCGCGGACGUCGCGACCCGUUUGGUGUCGGUCUGAGGAGUCGCGUUUUACGUUCGUUUCGCGUGCGCUCGUUGUCUCACGGCAGGAGAUGCGCGCAUUACGAGUACGCGAUGCACAUCCGGCUGACUGGCCAGACGGUACGAUGGGUGGCCGGUGUUGCCGUGUGUGUGCGCGCGCAACAUCGGUGCCGGUCUGCGACGAAUCUUCGGGCCUCUUUCCGACCCGUCUUGAAACACGGACCAAGGAGUCUAACGUGCGCGCGAGUCGCGGGGUGUCGGGUAACGGCGUGGUGGUCGCCUUUGCGGGCGGCUACGUGGCGUCGUUGCCCGUUACGAUGCGAAACCCGUACAUGUCGAAGGCGUAAUGAAAGUGAAACUGGGGAAGAUGGCGUUACCGAGUACACGUUCCGCGGUCUUUUGUACCGCGGCCGGUCGCCCGCAUUCCCGGGGCGUCCCAACGGCACGUCGGCGUUGCGGAUCGUCGUCUUCGCGGGCGGCGGUCGGGCGUCGACGAACCGGGGCGCACCUAUAGCGUGCACGUUGGUACCCGAAAGAUGGUGAACUAUGCCCGGCCAGGAUGAAGUCAGGGGAAACCCUGAUGGAGGUCCGCAGCGAUUCUGACGUGCAAAUCGAUCGUCUGAGCUGGGUAUAGGGGCGAAAGACUAAUCGAACCAUCUAGUAGCUGGUUUCUUUCAGACGAA
rnacentral:rRNA from 1 species